AUUGAACGCUGGCGGCAUGCCUUACACAUGCAAGUCGAACGGCAGCACGGGAGCAAUCCUGGUGGCGAGUGGCGAACGGGUGAGUAAUAUAUCGGAACGUGCCCAGUCGCGGGGGAUAACGCAGCGAAAGCUGUGCUAAUACCGCAUACGAUCUACGGAUGAAAGCGGGGGAUCGCAAGACCUUGCGCGAUUGGAGCGGCCGAUAUCAGAUUAGCCAGUUGGUGGGGUAAGAGCCCACCAAGGCGACGAUCUGUAGCUGGUCUGAGAGGACGACCAGCCACACUGGAACUGAGACACGGUCCAGACUCCUACGGGAGGCAGCAGUGGGGAAUUUUGGACAAUGGGCGCAAGCCUGAUCCAGCAAUGCCGCGUGCAGGAUGAAGGCCUUCGGGUUGUAAACUGCUUUUGUACGGAACGAAACGGCUCUUUCUAAUAAAGAGGGCUAAUGACGGUACCGUAAGAAUAAGCACCGGCUAACUACGUGCCAGCAGCCGCCGUAA
rnacentral:rRNA from 1 species